UACUCUGACAAGCAAAAACAUGUUCUGACUGGAUCCAAGAAUUAGUUAAAAGUGUUGAAAAAAUACAAAAUCAAAUAGGAGCAAAACAAAAUGCCAUACGCCGAGUACCGGCCCAGCAAUGGAAACAUGGUUCGAUCGGUUCGAUGCCAGGCAUGGCACCGAUCUUGUCAUUGUAAAUACUAGCAAUCACAUUUAUCAUCCGAUUUCGGUGGGUGGAUUAGAAGGCGGACGGAAAAUGUCAUGAACCCGGCGGGCUAUGCCGGAAAAUGGAGGGCAAGUAACCGGUGAGCGAUCGUGGAAGCAAUCCUCCUUGCAGAAGAGAAUGAAACGUCAAGUAAUAAAAAGGUGGAGGAGGACGAAAAAAAACUCCCGGCAGCGAUCCUGAUCCGCCAAAAAUUGUUUUCAAUGGAACUGGUGAGUAGUGUUUUUUGGCGGAGUUGUGCCAGGAGUGAUUUGGAUGACGAAAUUUCAAGAAUUCUAAGCAUCCAAUAUGUCAUAAAUCAAAAAUUCUUUAAUUUCUAAAAUGCUACAGUUAUAAGAUUGUACAAUCCUCAAAUUCUUCAC